rnacentral:rRNA from 1 species
CCUACGGGUGGCAGCAGUGAGGAAUAUUGGUCAAUGGGCUUACGCCUGAACCAGCCAAGUCGCGUGAGGGAAGACUGCCCUAUGGGUUGUAAACCUCUUUUGUCAGGGAGCAACGCCGGCUACGUGUAGCCGGACUGAGAGUACCUGAAGAAAAAGCAUCGGCUAACUCCGUGCCAGCAGCCGCGGUAAUACGGAGGAUGCGAGCGUUAUCCGGAUUUACUGGGCGUAAAGGGAGUGUAGGCGGUUUAGUAAGAUAGUGGUGAAAUCCCAGAGCUUAACUUUGGAAUUGCCAUUAUAACUAUUAGACUAGAAUUACAGAGAGGAUAGUGGAAUACCCAGUGUAGAGGUGAAAUUCGUAGAUAUUGGGUAGAACACCAGUGGCGAAGGCGACUAUCUGGCUGUACAUUGACGCUGAGGCUCGAAAGCAUGGGGAUCAAACAGGAUUAGAUACCCCUGUAGUC